UACGUAGGGUGCGAGCGUUAAUCGGAAUUACUGGGCGUAAAGCGUGCGCAGGCGGUUCGUUGUGUCGGCGGUGAAAGCCCCGGGCUUAACCUGGGAAUGGCCGUUGAAACUGGCGAACUGGAGUGUGGCAGAGGGGGGUGGAAUUCCGCGUGUAGCAGUGAAAUGCGUAGAGAUGCGGAGGAACACCGAUGGCGAAGGCAGCCCCCUGGGCUAACACUGACGCCUCAGGCACGAAAGCGUGGGGAGCAACAGG
rnacentral:rRNA from 1 species